UACGGAGGGUGCAAGCGUUAUCCGGAAUCACUGGGUUUAAAGGGUGCGUAGGCGGCCUGGUAAGUCAGGGGUGAAAGCUUCCCGCUCAACGGGAGAACUGCCCUUGAUACUGCCAGUCUCGAAUUGGGUUGAGGCCGGCGGAAUGUGGCAUGUAGCGGUGAAAUGCUUAGAUAUGCCAUAGAACACCGAUUGCGAAGGCAGCCGGCCAAGCCUUGAUUGACGCUGAGGCACGAAAGCGUGGGGAGCGAACAGG
rnacentral:rRNA from 1 species